UCGGUGGAUCACUCGGCUCGUGUGUCGAUGAAGAGCGCAGCUAACUGUGUGAAUUAAUGUGAACUGCAUACUGCCUUGAACAUCGACAUCUUGAACGCAUAUUGCGGCCAUGGGUUAGCUCAUGGCCACGCCUGUCCGAGGGUCGGCUUAUAAACUAUCACGACGCCCUUAAAGUCGUGGCUUGGGUCUUGCCAACUGGCGUGAUUUCCUCGAUCGCAUGAGGUUGAGGUGCCAGGUCUAUGGCUUUUCCCUAAUGUGUCCGGACAUCCAUGUGCAUGUGAUGGCGGAGUCGUGGCUAAGUGGUGAUCUAUUCUAUAUGGCGCGCUCCGUUCACUGUCAUGGUCUCUGUCUGUCACUUGUGUGUGUUGCGCGAUUGCGCUUCCAUACCUGA
rnacentral:rRNA from 1 species